AUUGAAUGCUGGCGGCAGGCUUAACACAUGCAAGUCGAGCGGAGAUGAGGUGCUUGCACCUUAUCUUAGCGGCGGACGGGUGAGUAAUGCUUAGGAAUCUGCCUAUUAGUGGGGGACAACAUUCCGAAAGGAAUGCUAAUACCGCAUCCGCCCUACGGGGGAAAGCAGGGGAUCUUCGGACCUUGCGCUAAUAGAUGGGCCUAAGUCGGAUUAGCGAGGUGGUGGGGUAAAGGCCUACCAAGGCGACGAUCUGGAGCGGGUCUGAGAGGAUGAUCCGCCACACUGGGACUGAGACACGGCCCAGACUCCUACGGGAGGCAGCAGUGGGGAAUAUUGGACAAUGGGCGGAAGCCUGAUCCAGCCAUGCCGCGUGUGUGAAGAAGGCCUUUUGGUUGUAAAGCACUUUAAGCGAGGAGGAGGCUACCUGGAUUAAUACUCUAGGAUAGUGGACGUUACUCGCAGAAUAAGCACUGGCUAACUCUGUGCCAGCAGCCGCGGUAAUAC
rnacentral:rRNA from 1 species